CGUAGGGUGCGAGCGUUAAUCGGAAUUACUGGGCGUAAAGCGUGCGCAGGCGGUUUGUUAAGAUAGGCGUGAAAUCCCCGGGCUCAACCUGGGAACUGCGCUUAUGACUGGCAAGCUAGAGUACGGCAGAGGGGGUGGAAUUCCACGUGUAGCAGUGAAUGCGUAGAGAUGUGGAGGAACACCAAUGGCGAAGGCAGCCCCCUGGGUCGAUACUGACGCUCAUGCACGAAAGCGUGGGUAGCAAACAGGAUUAGAUACCCUGGUAGUCCACGCCCUAAACGAUGUCAACUAGGUGUUGGGAGGGUAAAACCUUUUAGUACCGGAGCUAACGCGUGAAGUUGACCGCCUGGGGAGUACGGCCGCAAGGUUA
rnacentral:rRNA from 1 species